rnacentral:rRNA from 1 species
UUUAGUCAGGCAACGAGCGAGACCUGCACCUACAAUUGCCAGCAGCUGAGCAAUCAGGACUGGGCACAUUGUAGGGACUGCCCUGGAAACAGGGAGGAAGGAGCAGGCAACGGUAGGUCUGUAUGCCCCGAAUCUUCUGGGCUACACGCGCGCAACAAUGGUUGGGACAAUGGGAUACAACUCCGAAAGGAGAAGUUAAUCCUCGAAACCCAACCCCAGUACAGAUUGAGGAUUGUAACUCAUCCUCAUGACGUCGGAAUCCCUAGUAACCAGAUGUUAGCAUCGUCCGGUGAAUAUGUCCCUGCUCCUUGCACA